ACAUAUACCACUAAUAUGAAUUCCACGAUUUCCAUAUAAAACUAAGAAGAUGAUGUAUGAUUGCCAAUGAGACUACUCUCCACAAGAGACCAAAUUUCAGAAAUUAACAACUAAAGGUCACUGUACAGUUUCUGAAAUAAGCAUCAUCUGGAACUUAUUCUCUUUACCAAAAGUUUGAAAAGCCAAAAUAUAAAACUUAGUCGUACAAGCAGGGCAGAACAAUAUAAACCAUCCAAGGUCAUUUUUGUACGAGAACAUAGGAGUAUUAUUGUGAGAACAUAAAACUGGUUAACUUUAACCCCAUCACAUUUUGUGCCUGUAUCAAAAUUCUGACUAUCUGGAUCAUAUUUCUCAUUUUUUCUAAGGUCUGUUUUAAGGAGGAUCCAGGUGUUUGUUAUUAUUGUUGACUAUCCAAUAUCUUUUGUGUAAAGAAAAAUUGUU
rnacentral:lncRNA from 1 species